GAUCAUGGCUCAGGACGAACGCUGGCGGCGUGCUUAACACAUGCAAGUCGAACGAGAAUCUGCUGAAGGAGUAUUCGUCCAAACGGAAGCAGAGGAAAGUGGCGGACGGGUGAGUAACGCGUGAGGAACCUGCCUUGAAGAGGGGGACAACAGUUGGAAACGACUGCUAAUACCGCAUGAUGCAUAGAGGUCGCAUGAUCUUUAUGCCAAAGAUUUAUCGCUUCAAGAUGGG
rnacentral:rRNA from 1 species